AGAAUCAACGCUGGCGGCGUGCCUAACACAUGCAAGUCGAACGAGAAAGUGGGAGCAAUCCCAUGAGUAAAGUGGCGCACGGGUGAGUAACACGUGACUAACCUACCCUUGAGUGGGGGAUAACCUAGGGAAACCUGGGCUAAUACCGCAUAAUACCUACGGGUCAAAGGAGCAAUUCGCUUUAGGAGGGGGUCGCGGCAGAUUAGUUAGUUGGCGGGGUAAUGGCCCACCAAGACAGUGAUCUGUAUCCGGCCUGAGAGGGCGCACGGACACACUGGAACUGAAACACGGUCCAGACUCCUACGGGAGGCAGCAGUGGGGAAUUUUGAGCAAUGGGGGAAACCCUGACGCAGCAACGCCGCGUGGAGGAUGAAGCCCCUUGGGGCGUAAACUCCUUUCGAUCGGGAAGAUAAUGACGGUACCGGAAGAAGAAGCCCCGGCUAACUUCGCGCCAGCAGCCGC
rnacentral:rRNA from 1 species